UUUAUGGAGAGUUUGAUCCUGGCUCAGGAUGAACGCUGGCGGCGUGCCUAAUACAUGCAAGUCGAGCGAACAGACGAGGAGCUUGCUCCUCUGACGUUAGCGGCGGACG
rnacentral:rRNA from 1 species